rnacentral:rRNA from 1 species
GAUGAACGCUGGCGGCGUGCCUAAUACAUGCAAGUCGAGCGAACAGACGAGGAGCUUGCUCCUCUGACGUUAGCGGCGGACGGGUGAGUAACACGUGGAUAACCUACCUAUAAGACUGGGAUAACUUCGGGAAACCGGAGCUAAUACCGGAUAAUAUAUUGAACCGCAUGGUUCAAUAGUGAAAGACGGUUUUGCUGUCACUUAUAGAUGGAUCCGCGCCGCAUUAGCUAGUUGGUAGGGUAACGGCUUACCAAGGCGACGAUGCGUAGCCGACCUGAGAGGGGGAGCGGCCACACUGGAACUGAGACACGGUCCAGACUCCUACGGGGGGCAGAAGUAGGGAAUCGUCCGCAAGGGGCGAAAGCCUGACGGAGCAACGCCGCGUGAGUGAUGAAGGUCUUCGGAUCGUAAAACUCUGUUAUUAGGGAAGAACAAAUGUGUAAGUAACUAUGCACGUCUUGACGGGACCUAAUCAGAAAGCCACGGCUAACUACG